UUUCCAUGACCCCCUCUUCCAUAGGAAAGGAAAUCACCUUAUGGCCCUCGCUAAGACUGUAAGACUGCUGUUCUCGAUACUUCUGCCUCCAAUGUUAUGGAGACCUGGGUAUGACUACCUACCUGUAUAUGGACUCUGGUCCCUGUCAAUUUUAAUAGAUUCGGAAACUACUUGGUCUAUACACAGAUAUACUUUAUUUAUCCCUCUGGGGUCUCUGAUAGUAUUGAUGACUAGGGCAGUUUUAAUGUCAGUUUAGCAGCAAAAGGUAUCCAGAUCCUCCCACAAAGCUACUGCCAGCUCGUUAGUUCAUUCUAAAACUACUAGAUCUCUUUAAAAAAUGUUUUAAGGUCUGAGGAUAUAAAAGUUCAUAAGCUUUGAGGGUCUAAAAGAAAUGACUUAAGAUGUAAAUACAGGUUAAGAUAUAGAAAAUGUUUUUAAUUUCUUCCCCCCUCUAUGGCGUUGUUCUAAUAAGCUUAACUAUUUACUGUUUGGGUCACAAGCUCAAGAUUUUAGAUUUAUUCUACUUGCCAUUUAAAUAUAAACUAAAGGUAUUUCUCAUCAGGCCAAAAGCAUCUCUGUCUAAACCAUACAUGGUUCUCUGUAUAAAUGCUUCUAACCAAAAUCUGUAAUUUUUGCUAGGACUCAAAGGUAUAAGUCUAUUUUUUCUUUUUACAGAUCCCUGUUAUCUGUUCUUUUUCUACAAUAUGAUUUUUUCUUUAAGUACAUAAAUUUUAACUUCUGUUCCUAGUUUCCACUUGGCUGGCAGAUGCAUCUAAGCAUUAGUUGCUGACUACAACCUGCUCUAAAUGGUGGCGAGGGGCUGCAGGCCACGAGGAGCCACACGGCAGGUCAGAGACCUCGGCAGGUCAGCUGGUCCCACAAGGAGCUGCGGCAGGUGCCGUGAGCUCACGAGGGUAGCAGUCCUGAUGUGUCCAGGAGGCCCUGCUUCUCUCCAGUGCUCGCCAGUCUCUGGUUCUUACAAUCCUUGCUCCCAACUCCUUGAGCCUUGGAGAGUUAACAUAAAUAGAGGUUGGGAAACGCCAACACAGUUAUGAUUCCUGCUGGACACAGCCGUGGGGGACUCUCAGCAAGAACAGAGCGGUUACCUCCUUGGGAAUCCCACCUGGCAGAGGACCCUGUAGCUUCACCCAGCCUCCCCUUCUGCAAAAUUCUUUGGAUGGGGUGUCCAAGGAGGCUUCACCCAUUAUCCCCUUGGGCAAGGUUAUUGACUGGGGUGAGCUACUGCAGCCAAACCAAGACUAGGGAGAGGAGAGGCGAACAGAUCUUCUGACCUGGGUAUGGCCUUGAGUUCUGUCACAUGCUUACCCACGGAUGGGGUGGGAGACAGGCCAUCUUCUGACUGUAAGCCCUGGGACCCUUGCCCCAGAGAAACCUUGGAGCCACCUUCUUUAUCAACUUGUCCUGGCCUUUACUCGUAUUUGAGACACAGACACCAAAACCUAUGAGUUCUGUGGCUUCUUCCAGCCCCAUAGCUGCCAGGCCCCAGGUGAGAAGCAGGAUUGUGUCACAGGCAGCUGUCCACGUGUGAGCUGACUUAGGUGGGGCCCCACCCCAGCCCAGACCGAGAUUCUCACUUCCAAGAAUCCUGAGAUUCAGGGUCUAACGUUUCUCCUUCCCGCAAAUGACCUUCUAGACGCCCCCUGCCAACCUUCCAGGAGUUUAUUCGCAGUUUAAAACUGUGGUGUGGGGGCUGGAGACGUGGCUCAGUGGUUAAGAGCAUUGCCUGCUCUUCCAAAGGUCCUGAGUUCAAUUCCCAGCAACCACAUGGUGGCUCACAACCAUCUGGAAUGAGGUCUGGUGCCCUCUUCUGGCCUGCAGACAUACACACAUUGUAUAAAUAAAUAAAUAAAUAAAUAAAUAAAUAAAUAAAUAAAUAAAUUUAAAAAAAUAAAACUGUGAUGUGGAGCUCAGUUACGAGAGGGACAGGGGCCUCCAAGGUAGAAGACUGCAGGCUGGAGAGGAAGUCAGCACAGGACCUGAGCAAAGUUUGAAGCAGAGACCCGAAACAGGUACAGCUCAUUAACCAUCACAUGCCCAGAGAGAUGCUAAAAAGAGGACCUGGUUCUUCUACCUUUGAGUGCUUAGCAAGGCAGACCCAGUGAUGAUGGAUGUAGGCUUAGGCCUCAUGUAUGCAGGCUGGUGGAGGAACCAAGGACUGAAUCCAGCCUGCUCAGGAGGGCAGGCAGGGUGGGUCCUGGGGGAGGAGGCUUUCAGGUCACUGGUCUUCUGGAAGGAACACAGGGAUAAGUUGUGGUGGGAAGGUAGCCGCUCCCACUCCUGAUCCAGUUCCCACAUCAACAAAAAAGAUCAGCUAACACAGCUCCAAGCUUAUAAUAAGAGUCCUUUCUGCAUGGCUCCUCUCCAGUUCUGCUCUUUCCCAACCCGGAUGACGAUGGAGCAGACAUCCACGGACUCUGAACCUUUCCACUCUUCCUUACACUCCAAGAGCCCAGGAUACCUUCAGAUCUGCGUCUGCACCUAGGAAGCCCCACUGUGACUCCCAGGAUACACCUGGACACACCACCCCCACUUACUCUACUCAUAACAUCUCCAGUCAGCCCCAUCUGUGGACCUGAACUGCUGGCUGCUAAAAUGGCCAGAGGCUCGCCAGCAAAGAAGCCCUUUCCUCCUGCAAGCCUGUCUCCUGAGGACACAUCCAGUGACUAUUCCAGAGUAUGUCACUGCAAAACACGAGCCCCGUGCUAUUUGCCCGAGUGUCUUUCCUGCCCCUUGUGGAUUUGCCUUCUCUUCAAAGAUCUUGUGAACCAAGCACUGAGCUGUUCACAAGGGCGUUGUCUAAUGGAUGGCCUUGGUAGAUUCAGUUGUCUCUCUCCUAAGUGAAGCGCAGGCCUGCUUCCGGCUUUAAAGUGUACUCUGGUGCCUCCCGUAUAUGAUGAUUGUGGAUGUUUGACAAUUGUGAAGUGUGGAAUGUGUUCCGGCUCUACCGGGUUUCUGUGUUGCGGUUCAGAGAAAGCUGAGAAUUGACUGAGGAGUUCAGAACUGCCGUCCAUGCGAAGCCUGUGGUGGAGAAGGGCCUGGGAAUGCGGGAGGUGGGGCCGCUCAGCUGAUGUGUGAGGUUCUGGGUUCAACCCCCAACUCUAGAGAGGACUUCCUAAUCGCAAGCCAGGACCUCUGGGCUCUGAAAGCUAUGUCCCCUGUGUCAUUUGGAGCCCAGAGCUCAUUGUUCCUUGAGUCAUCUGGCAAAUAUUUGAAAGCUUUCUUUUAAGGACUUCGGAAAGGGAGAAUUUGAAAAUGUAUUAACAACGUGGUGCCUCAUUCCUAUAAUCCUAGUACGCAAGGCAGGAAGAUUACAGUAAAGUUGAGAACAUCCUGGGCUACAUGGUGAGUUCUAUGCCAGUCUAGGGUAUAGAGUCAGAUAAUAACACACAUACACAUACAUGCAUGUGCACACACACACACACACUCAAACUCACAAAGACAAAACUCUCCCUCAAAUAAAUGAAAACGCCUAAGAUUUCUGAUUAAGAGAGAGAGACAAGCUGUCCUGUAACUCAGGCUUACCUUAAACUGUGCAGCUAAAUGACCUUUGAACGCCUGACCCUCCUUCCUCCACCUCCUGCGGGUUAGAAUUACAGGUGUGUAACACUGUGAGCAGGUUCCUAAAAUCUCUUAUUUUAAUAGAUUGUAUUUCUCAAUAUUUACCAUGUUGGCAAUUGAAGCUGGGCAUAUUUCAAAUUAUUUAAUAACUUAUUUAAAACAGUAACAUGGCCACUAUAUGUUAAUAUGAGUAAAAUAUGUUUAUGAAGAGGUAUUUACUCAAACAGAAAUAGUGUGUGGAAUAGUUUCAGUGAAUGGACGCUGACAGCUGCUUCCCCUUUAGUCCACUGCAAUACCUCAAGCCCCUUGGAUUCUAGAGCAUUCCCUUUUAUUAUCUGAAUGAAUGAGAGAGAAAAGUAGGUAGAGAAUAUCUUAGUUUUUGUGUUGUGUUCUGUUUGCUUGGAGACAAGGUCUCAUGUAAGCUAAGCUGGCCAAGGACAACAAUGAACUUCUGAGCCAAGUGUCGGGAUGACAGAUGUGUGCCAUCACAUCUGAGUCUUUAGUUUGUUUUGUCUUAGCAGUCUUAUAUAAAUAGCUUCUAGCCUCAGAACUUCCGAUGACAUUUUCAGGACUCCCUAGGGACCUUUGUCCUAACCUAGAUCUUGAACCCAUGGACCUGCCUUUUGCAAGGAAAGGAACACACCCGCUCUUCCGUGGAUGUCUCCUGUAGUAGGUUCCAUGCCCUCCCUAGAAUGGGGCUCAGUCUCUGUUUAUGACUGUACAAUGCACAGCUUAGAUGACAGAAUUGUAUUUCACAUGGUCUGGAAGCUUCGUCUCCCAUUAUGUCAGGGCUGCCCAAUAUAAAACAUGUUUCUGGUUGCUUUCUUGCUGUGCCCCACAUACAAAAACAGACAGACAGUCAGGCCUCGAACUACAACCUUCUUCCAUGUCUUUUUGUACAAGCACCACACCCCCAUGGCGAGGGUCCUAGCUUCACGGUUUCUUCUAAACGUAGUCAUCUGUCCCAGGCCCCCCCUCCAAGUACAGAGCAUGUGGGGCUAGGGCAUAAUAAAUAGGGGAGGGCCACAGGCUACAUAUCAGAUCCUAGAUUAUGAUGAAACAGAACCAUGCUUAGAGCCAGGAGUUGAACAGUACUUGGACUACAUGUCAGGUUCAUCAUGGCCCACUGGGUGUAUUUCUUCUGGGGUCUGAACUGGUUUGACCCCAACAGUCAUGGCAUUGUGCCCUAGAGGUCAUCUGGAUGGAACACUUUCUUUCCCUAUACAGUGUGUCAUCAGGGUAGUCCCCUAUACCUCAGUCUGUCCCCUCUGAUACUUUUUCUAAACACCAUCUCUCUCUCUCUCUUGAGCUUCUGCCACCAACCUGCAUUGGGCCUUGUAUUUCCAAACCACGCUCCACGGGAACCGAAGGAAGCCUUGAAAACACAGACCUAAGCAUGAUGCUCAUUUGCUUAAAGUUAUGCAGUGGAGUCUCCCGCUAUGCAUAGGCUGAAUAACAAGCCUGUAAGCUGUCACGGCAUUUCAUUUGUAUUUUAGUAAAUAAAACUUGCCUGAAGAUCAGAGAGUAAAACAGCCCCACUGGUCAGCCUUACAGACCAAGCAGUGGUAACACAUACCUUUUAAUCUUAGUGGCCACACUAGUUGCCACAGAAAUGGGGCGGUGUGUGCCUUUAAUCCCAGUGGUGCACACCUUUAAUCCCAGCCCUAGAGAGGAUUAUAAAAUGGAAGGAGACAACUCUCAGACACAGUCUCACUGAGAUUCCUGGAGGCAGGAUUGCCCUUUCGGACUGAGGUCGAGGUAAGAGCCAGUGGCCAGCUGCUUUGCUUUUCGGAUCUUCAGGUUGAACCCCAUUUCUCUCUCUGAAUUUUUAUUAAUUGUGUAUCAGUAAAUUCCACAUCCGCCUAGGUACCUCUCACUCCAUGCUCUCUAGCUCUUGGUCUCCGGAGCUCACUCCCUUCCUGAGCUGUUCCUUCACCUAAAUUCUCUUGUCACCUUCCCACCCUCUUUAAUAAUCCCUACUCUGUCAUCGGAUCAAAUGUUGCUUUUCCAGAGCCUUCCCUCUCUGCUCUGUCUAGGUCCCUUUCUCCUAAUAGAGGCAUUUAUAAAAAUUUUAAACUAUUGUUGUGAUAUCUGACCAAUAUCUAAUUAUCUACCAGACUGAGAAACUCAUGGAAGACAUUG